ACACUCCUGCGGGAGGCAGCAGUGGGGAAUUUUGGACAAUGGGCGAAAGCCUGAUCCAGCAAUGCCGCGUGUGUGAAGAAGGCCUUCGGGUUGUAAAGCACUUUUGUCCGGAAAGAAAUCCUUGGCUCUAAUACAGUCGGGGGAUGACGGUACCGGAAGAAUAAGCACCGGCUAACUACGUGCCAGCAGCCGCGGUAAUACGUAGGGUGCGAGCGUUAAUCGGAAUUACUGGGCGUAAAGCGUGCGCAGGCGGUUUGCUAAGACCGAUGUGAAAUCCCCGGGCUCAACCUGGGAACUGCAUUGGGGACUGGCAGGCUAGAGUAUGGCAGAGGGGGGUAGAAUUCCACGUGUAGCAGUGAAAUGCGUAGAGAUGUGGAGGAAUACCGAUGGCGAAGGCAGCCCCCUGGGCCAAUACUGACGCUCAUGCACGAAAGCGUGGGGAGCAAACAGGAUUAGAAACCCGAUAGUCCCAUGA
rnacentral:rRNA from 1 species